CUUCGGGCUGAUAACUGGUUGGGGAGUCGGAAAUCAGUCUCUUCCCGACUUUUAAGUGUCCGAUAAAUCCAAGUUUACGAUGAGUAGCAUUAUAUGCGGUAUAACGAAGUAAUGUAAACUUAAUUGUUCUCAUUAUUAUUCCACGUUAAAUCGCCAUGCCAUUUUUUGACAUUU
rnacentral:snoRNA from 1 species